UACGGAGGGUGCAAGCGUUAUCCGGAUUCACUGGGUUUAAAGGGUGCGUGGGCGGGCCUGUAAGUCAGUGGUGAAAUCUUCCCGCUUAACGGGAAAACUGCCAUUGAUACUAUAGGUCUUGAAUUCAGUUGAGGUGGGCGGAAUGUGUCGUGUAGCGGUGAAAUGCUUAGAUAUGACACAGAACACCGAUUGCGAAGGCAGCUCGCUAAACUGACAUUGACGCUGAGGCACGAAAGCGUGGGGAUCAAACAGG
rnacentral:rRNA from 1 species